rnacentral:rRNA from 1 species
CCUACGGGAGGCUGCAGUGGGGAAUAUUGGACAAUGGGCGCAAGCCUGAUCCAGCAAUGCCGCGUGUGUGAAGAAGGUCUGCGGGUUGUAAAGCACUUUCAGUAAGGAGGAAAAGUUGUAGGUUAAUAGCCUGCGACCUUGACGUUACUUACAGAAGAAGCACCGGCUAACUCCGUGCCAGCAGCCGCGGUAAUACGGAGGGUGCAAGCGUUAAUCGGAAUUACUGGGCGUAAAGCGCGCGUAGGCGGUUUGUUAAGUCAGAUGUGAAAUCCCCGGGCUCAACCUGGGAAUGGCAUUUGAGACUGGCAGGCUAGAGUAUGGUAGAGGUGAGUGGAAUUUCAGGUGUAGCGGUGAAAUGCGUAGAGAUCUGAAGGAACAUCAGUGGCGAAGGCGACUCACUGGGCCAUUACUGACGCUGAGGUGCGAAAGCGUGGGUAGCA